UGGGGAAUAUUGGACAAUGGGCGCAAGCCUGAUCCAGCCAUGCCGCGUGAGUGAUGAAGGCCUUAGGGUUGUAAAGCUCUUUUACUCGGGAAGAUAAUGACUGUACCGAGAGAAUAAGCCCCGGCUAACUUCGUGCCAGCAGCCGCGGUAAUACGAAGGGGGCUAGCGUUGUUCGGAAUUACUGGGCGUAAAGCGCAUGUAGGCGGCGAUUCAAGUCGGGGGUGAAAUCCCAGGGCUCAACCCUGGAACUGCCUUCGAUACUGUCUUGCUAGAGUGUGGAAGAGGUAAGUGGAACUGCAAGUGUAGAGGUGAAAUUCGUAGAUAUUUGCAAGAACACCAGUGGCGAAGGCGGCUUACUGGUCCAUUACUGACGCUGAGAUGCGAAAGCGUGGGGAGCAAACAG
rnacentral:rRNA from 1 species